rnacentral:rRNA from 1 species
CAUUUAUGGAGAGUUUGAUCCUGGCUCAGAGUGAACGCUGGCGGCGUGCCUAACACAUGCA